GGAUCCCUGGCGGCCUGGCUGCCGGGGUGAGAGUGGCGAACGGGUGAGUAAUGCGUGACCAACCUGCCCUGUGCACCGGAAUAGCUCCUGGAAACGGGUGGUAAUACCGGAUGCUCCGCCCCACCGCAUGGUGGGGUGGGAAAUGCUUUUUGCGGCAUGGGAUGGGGUCGCGUCCUAUCAGCUUGUUGGCGGGGUGAUGGCCCACCAAGGCGUUGACGGGUAGCCGGCCUGAGAGGGUGACCGGCCACAUUGGGACUGAGAUACGGCCCAGACUCCUACGGGAGGCAGCAGUGGGGAAUAUUGCACAAUGGGCGCAAGCCUGAUGCAGCGACGCCGCGUGCGGGAUGGAGGCCUUCGGGUUGUAAACCGCUUUUGUUCAAGGGCAAGGCACGGCUUCGGGCCGUGUUGAGUGGAUUGUUCGAAUAAGCACCGGCUAACUACGUGCCAGCAGCCGCGGUAAUACGUAGGGUGCGAGCGUUAUCCGGAUUUAUUGGGCGUAAAGGGCUCGUAGGCGGUUCGUCGCGUCCGGUGUGAAAGUCCAUCGCCUAACGGUGGAUCUGCGCCGGGUACGGGCGGGCUGGAGUGCGGUAGGGGAGACUGGAAUUCCCGGUGUAACGGUGGAAUGUGUAGAUAUCGGGAAGAACACCAAUGG
rnacentral:rRNA from 1 species